rnacentral:rRNA from 1 species
CAGCCUCCCGGCCCGUUAACGACGCUCAUGCUCGAAGGCGCGGGUAUCAAACAGGAUUAGAUACCCUGGUAGUCCGCGCAGUAAACGAUGAGUGCUCGGGAUUUGCCCAUCCGGGUGAGUCCCCCAGCGAAAGCGUUAAGCACUCCACCUGGGGAGUACGCCGGCAACGGUGAAACUCAAAGGAAUUGACGGGGGCCCGCACAAGCGGAGGAACAUGUGGUUUAAUUCGAUGAUACGCGAGGAACCUUACCCGGGCUUGAAAUGUGCACGACGACCCUGAGAGACCAGGGUUUCCUUCGGGCGUGCAUGUAGGUGCUGCAUGGUUGUCGUCAGCUCGUGCCGUGAGGUGUCGGCUCAAGUGCCAUAACGAGCGUAACCCCUUCCGCCGGUUACCAUCGGGUGAUGCCGGGGACUCCGGCGGCACUGCCGCCGCAAGGCGUGAGGAAGGCGGGGAUGACGUCAAAUCAGCACGGCCCUUACGUCCGGGGCCACACACGUGUUACAAUGGGGGGCACAGCGAGCUGGAGGAUGGCGACAUCCUUCGAAUCAUGAAAUCCCCUCCCAGUUCGGACCGGAGUCUGCAACCCGACUCCGCGAAGCC